CCUGCCCUCCAGGCCACUGACCCCGCUCCUGUUGGCAAGGCUUGAGAGUGACCGGCCGUGCAUGUCCCUCCCCUGGGCCUCUUUGGAGGCGCCUGCCUGGUGCUUGGGAGGUUGUGAUGACGUCGAGACCGUUUCCCCACCUUUGGCUGUGCUCCAGCCACAUGGAAGNNNNNNNNNNNNNNNNNNNNNNNNNNNNNNNNNNNNNNNNNNNNNNNNNNGCCUGGCCCCAGCUGCCUCUGUGCCCUCUUGGCCUCUCGCUGGCCCCGGGGACACUGGCUAAGCCGAGGAGCCUUUCUGAGCGACGGGCAGGACCUGCGAACACCCGAAUCCGCCUUCGGAAUCCGGAAACAGGGUCUGGCUUGGGGCCAAACUCAGAGGGUCGCUCCGAGGCUCUGCCCACAAAGCUGCCGCCUCCUCCUGCGUGUUCCCCUGGCAUUUUGGGGGCUGGGCCUUUCAGGAGCACGGGAUGCCAGCACUGUGUGCCUGCCCUGCACCUGCUGCUGCAGGGGACAGGGGGGGAGCAGGAACCUGGGGCUCCCGCCGGGCCAGUGGAUGAAGCCGCACGGCGUCCCUCAGCCGGAGGCCUGGGCUCCUCUGGCCCUCCCGGGCGGUCAGCGUUUCUCCGCGGAGCCCCCGCUGCACGUACCUGCCCCUGCCCACUGUCCGCAGGGUGUGUGCUUGGACCCGCGAAGUGCCUCGUGCCCUGUCCAGAGGGAAGUGGGACCAGGACCCCCGUCUGGGAAAAAGGACUACGUGCCUCUUGGGCUUCAUCCGGUUCCAAGGAGAGGCAACUGGGUUCACCCUAAAAAUAACCCAACAUGGAAACAGCUUCAACAUGCAAAUGUUUUUUCAUAUCCGUGGGCCAAAUAACUUAAAGGUACAGCUGUUUUUCCACUGUCCUGGUCUGUUUGUUUUUCCUGGAGCGGGGAGGGGCUCUGGGUGAUCCGGGCUCCUCUGGGGUCAUCGUCUUCCAGUCCCAGCCCUGGUUGGGGUCUGGCCGGGGACCGAGGCCUCGUCCGCGCUAUGGGCUGCUGCCUCUUCUGUGCCUACCCCCUUUCUGGGGAUACCCCAAGUCUGGCACGACCCGAGCAGGCCGAGCCCCUGCAGUUCUGCCACGCCUGUGGGCUGUGGUCCAGGCCACCCUGUUUCCAUUCACCGAGCUCACCUGGCUCCAAAAUGGGCGAUCGAGUUAGACGCAGAGUGGGGAGCUGGGGGGGGGAAGGCAGAGUGUGGGGCGGGAGUCUCGAGCAGAGCCGGCCUGGCUGGGGACCCGCUGUCCUGCCGCCCUGCCCGCUUCGCUCGCGGGUGUGUCCUCACUCUGGCGGCAGGGGCCUGGCUUCCCGCCCGUCCUCUCCCCCUUGAUGCUGCACCCUCUGAGGCUCCAAGGCACCGUGUCACAUCUGUGGCUGGCAACUCUCGCCCCGUAGACCUGCUCCAUGUGGGAAAAGUCCCAAAGCAGACACCACGAGGGAGAAGGCCACGGUCCAGCGGGGGCGUCCAACGUGGCUGUGGCCCUGCAGAGCCGGGCGGGGUAGUCCUUUCUUCUUCCUUCCGCCGUGACCACAGGGCAGGGGACUCAGUCCAUGGGAAGGGUGGCUCUCACUCGGGCCCGGCACAGACCCGUGAGCUACUGACCUCAAGAGUCUUCUUCCUUCCUCCAUCCCUCCCUUCGGAAAGUUUACCUGGGGUCCUGGAGCACAGCAGUGGGUAAAACCAACCCCAAACCCUGCCCUCCCGGAGCCUCCAUUCUAGUGGAAGAGAGUUAAGAAAGAGAAAGGGACGCAGACUUGGCCUGAUGGAUAGGGCGUCCGCCUACCACAUGGUAGGUCCACGGUUCAAACCCUGGGCCUCCUUGACCCAUGUGGAGCUGACCCAUGCUCAGUGCUGAUGCGCACAAGGAGUACCAUGCUACACAGGGGUGUCCCUCGCGUAGGGGAGCCCCUUGCGCAAGGAGUGCGCCCCGUAAGGAGAGCCGCCCAGUGCAAAAGAAAGUGCAGCCUGCCCGAGAAUGGCGCCACCCACACGGAGACCUGACACAAGAUGACACAACAAAAAGAAACACAGAUUCCUGGUGCCAAUGAUAAGGAUAGAAGCAGUCACAGAAGAACACACAACGAAAGGACACAAAGAGCAGACAACUGGGGUGGGGCACGGAGAGAAAUAAAUAAAAAAUAAAUCUUAAAAAAAAAAGUUAGAAAGAGAAGGCAGGCAGGCACAGGGCGUAUCAGGUAACGACCACUGCUGUGAAGAAAAGAGCCGGGAGGUGCUGGAGUUGGGGGCAGGGGCUGGUAGUUUUAAAUACAGGUGGUCAGGGACAGAGGCCUGCAGGAAGGGAGGGGGCAGCGCCCAGUGCCGUGGAAGCCAGUCUGGGGGGAGUGUGGAGCGAGGGAGGGCGGUGGAGCUGGGGUGAAGCUGAGCCUUUGGGGGGCCUUUGGCCAGCACAGGGCUCUGCAGGGGCAGGUCCCACCUUGAGUUGCAAGAGGCUCCUGCCUGCUGCUCUGUGGGGGUGGACUGGAGGGAGGCAGGGAAGGGAUCAGGAAGCUGAGAGAACCGCAGGAAGGCUUGUGGGGGCCUGAGGCUCCCCGCUGGGAUGCCCCGUGCCUGCCCGUGGGCACAAAGCAUGGUGGAGCUAGGAUUCUUCACUCUGCAGCUGUUUGUAAUUUUUCUGGAGUUUCCCUCCACCACUCCCCCGUUAUUCCUCCCCAGGUCGGUUUUGGGGGCAGGGGCAGGAAUGGGGUAGCUGGGUCAGUUUCCGGUUCCUUGCAUCCAGGCUCUGUGGCCACUCAACUCCUGAGAAGCCCUUGGGCAUUUCCUGGGCCCCCACCUGCCCGGCCUGGGUUCGGGCCCCACUGCUGCACAGCACUGCCCCCCUCCCCGGCCAGGAGCUGCCCGCCUGGCGCUCACCCCCAACCCAGGCAGCCCUGCCGUGCGGUUCAGACAAGCCCCUUCCUCCUCCAGCGUCUGGACUUCUCCAGCUGCAAAGAGGAGGGGCCGGGAUGGAGUGUGGGUGCCAGCCCAGACCCUUGAAGCAGGCGCCUCGGUAAACUGAGGACAGGCCUCUGGGCACAGCUUCGUGGUCGGGGAUCCCCUGCCCGUCUCCACGGGGGU
rnacentral:lncRNA from 1 species